AUCCAUAGCGAGGAAAGGGCUUUGAUCCGUCGCUGCAUUUGUACUGGCAGAGGCCGUCCUCGCCGCCCAGGAGGUCGAGCGCCGCGUUGAGGUAAACGUCGAUCUUGUGCACGCCGUUCCGGAUAGUUUUCAGCGUCAUCCUCCAGUCUGGGGUCUGCGGCGCCUCCUGGCUCCGGGCCGCCGGCGGCCGCGGGCCCACCCAGGCACCCGCCAUCAGCAGCGGCAGCAGCAGCAGGGCGCGGGCCAUGCCCGAGGAGCCGCGCCCCGCGCCGCCGGGCGCUCGCUAAGCCCCCGCCGCGCGGCCGCAGCGCUCCGCACGCACGGCCCGGCCCGCCGCCAUCGGCCCCGCGGGCGCCGCCCCUACGGCUGGGCGGGACUGCGAGCAGGGCGCGGCCUGUUGGAGAAGGCGGCCGGCGUCCGCUCCUGGCCCGGCGCUGCGGUGUGGGGUGCUGGGAGCGGAGCUGCUCCGGGAUCUUUCCACGUGCGAGCGAUUCGCUUUCAGGUGAGGCAGGGUGGAACCACACGGGAAUCGUUCUAAUUUCUGCAACGAAAGCCUUGUUUUAAGACGUGUGGAAUUCCUCAAAAGACGGACAGAGGGAUUUUAGGACACAGGUAACUGCAGGGGACGGGAAAUAUAAAGAACAUGGAAAGGCUUCCGGAUCUGCAGGCGGGCGCGAAAGUACCCGGGUUUCCAGACACUGGGAGACCAGUAUAUUGUUUUCUGUGAAAUGGAGAAACGCCUCUGAUCAUCCUUGUUACUUCUUUCUCAGAAAGAUGAGAGGACUGGAACUUGCAGAUACAGAUCAUUCCCCUGGUGUGAUUUUCACUCUUCCUGGUCACCCACAAGCUAUACUCUUCAAAAAUCAGCUGAAGUGCACAACAGAUGAUAAACAUUUCAAGCCAGUGGUUUAUAGCACACCACAACAAUGGAACUGUGAGCAAAUUAAAAUAUAAGGGGACUUCACAGAAUCACACAGAAUGGCCUGGGUUGGAAGGGACUUCAAGGAUCAUGAAUCUCCAACCCACCCCCCUGCCCCCCCGGCACUGGCAGGGCCACCAACCUCUACAUUUAAUACUAGAGCAGGCUGCCAAGAGCCCCGUCCAGCCUAGCCUUGAACACCUCCACGGAUGGGGGAUCCACAACCUCUCUGGGCAGCCUGUUCCAGCACCUUACCACUCUCACAGUAAAGAACUUGCCCCUGACAUCCAACCUAAAUCUUCCCUCCUUCAACUUAAAACCAUUUCCCCUUGUCCUGCUAUUAUCUCCCCUUUCAAAGAAUUGACUCCCCUAACUUGGCUUAAACACCAGAAAAAUGAAAUUAAAAAAAAAAGAGUAGCAACUUGAUUUUUUUUCAAGACCUUUUUAUUGUCCCAGUUGACCCAGUUGACAUAACUAUAGCCAAUAACUACUUAGAAACAAAUAAAUCUAAAAUUGAAGAUGUGUUUCAUUGCAAGUAACAAGUAUUAAGUAUCUUCAACAAAUGUGAAAAUUAAGUGCCCUUCCCAGUCUGUUUUGUUCCCAUAUCUUGGAUGGCAGUGGGUUUGCAGUGUGGUUUCUGGUUGUUGUGGACUGCAAGGAGUGCUCCUUAUCCCUCCAUCUGACCAUCUGUCUCUAGGUGAGUGAUAACACCUAUCCUGGCAGCUCUCUGGUUAUUCCAUUGCUGGCUGAGUGCUUUUGCUCACUAAGAUGUGUGUGCAGGGGGAAUGUUGAAAUGUGAAAAAUAUGUAGCUAGACUUUGCAUAAAGAUGAGAAAGAAAUGUCAGUUGUCAGAUCGGAUUUAUCGGCUUUGAGUGCAUCCACUGAAUCAACAGAGCCAAAGUUUAAAGUUCUCGUGAAGAAAUCCUGGCCUAAGUAAAGGCAGUGGGAAUGUCGCCAGGGCUGAAUUUAUUCCGAGCCCCUCCCACCCUUUUAAGGGCUGUAUAAUCUUAAUAAAUUCUUCCUGUUCUUCUCAGGUCAGUAGAAUCCUAUGCAUUAUCUUUAGAUUUACAUACCAAACUCUGAGCCAGGCCCGGCUUGGCAUAACUCCUGUAUUGCACUAGAUGUUUCUCUUUAGCUCUGACAGAAUAGCAACAAAAGGGGCUGAUCUUUACCUACGGGUUUUUCUUGGAAAGCUCAGGCUAUGCUGAACAUGGAGCCCAUCAGGACUCCUUGAGAGGCUUUUGCCAGAAGAGAUUUUACAACAAAAGCUUUCUGAGCUGAGCCACACUUGCAGGUUGGGUUUAGCAUAGCAUCCCGAUUAAAAGAUUUUCCAAAAGGCUGUUAAUGUAAACCUCAGAUAGAACCGAUAUACAGAGGAGAAACAGCAAGAUUCACAUUUUCAAGCUGGACUAAAACAAAUGUACGAAAUGCAGAUGCUGCAAAAGGAAAUUAAAAAAGACUUUGUUUUUAUAAUAAUAAAUUGUUUUAACUGUUUGCUGUUGGUUGGUUUGUUUUUAAAAUAAGGGGAUACCACAAUAAAAUAAGUUCUUACCUGUGCUCGACAGAAAGAAAAGAGAGAGAAGCAAACCAAGAGAACUGCAACCACUCUCAUGAUGAGGUUUUAUGUCUUUGUAGAGAAAUUCCCCUGGCCGGGACUUUCCCAAUUGCCAGUCGUUAGGUUUGUGUUUAAUUUUUAACCUUUGGUAAAACACUCUGAAGUGGACUCAGAAACAACUACGGGAGCCUUAGAUAUCAACGGAUGAGUCUGCUCUCUCCACACGGAUCCCACCCCAUUUAACCUGUUUUACUGUAAAUAGAGACCAAAGGGAAGCCCUUGAAGCCAACGGUUACAAGGGAGUGCUCAGCAGGGUCUCUCGCUCCCCGCCUGCUGCCAACGCAGACCGAUGGAGCCGCGGGCCGAUCUCCUGGCAGCAGGCACCCCGCUCUGCAGGGAGCUGUUAGGGCAGGUGCGUUCUUAGGUGAGAUACGUGUGUCUGUAUGCAGGCAGGCAAACGGAACGGAUCAACUCCACUAUCUCCGUGCGAGAGCGUAACCGGCGGAGCCUUGCUCAGAGAACUGUUGGGGCAGUGGCCAAUCCACUGCAUCCCACCUGCGGGCGGUUUCCGGGAGAACCGCGGUCUCGGCCGGCACAACGGAACGGCUCCUGCGA
rnacentral:lncRNA from 1 species